AGUGAACGCUGGCGGCGUGCUUAACACAUGCAAGUCGAACGAGAACGGUACUAGCUUGCUAGUAUGUCAGCUAAGUGGCGGACGGGUGAGUAAUGUAUAGUUAAUCUGCCCUUCAGAGGGGAAUAACUACUGGAAACGGUAGCUAAUACCCCAUACUCCUUUUAUCUUAAUGAUAAUUGGGAAAUGUCUUUUCGCUGAAGGAUGAGACUAUAUGGUAUCAGGUAGUUGGUGGGGUAAGAGCCUACCAAGCCAAUGACGCCUAGCUGGUCUGAGAGGAUGAUCAGCCACACUGGAACUGAGACACGGUCCAGACUCCUACGGGAGGCAGCAGUGGGGAAUAUUGCACAAUGGGGGAAACCCUGAUGCAGCAACGCCGCGUGGAGGAUGACACAUUUCGGUGCGUAAACUCCUUUUAUAUGGGAAGAUAAUGACGGUACCAUAUGAAUAAGCACCGGCUAACUCCGUGCCAGCCGCCGCGGUAA
rnacentral:rRNA from 1 species